GGUGAGAUGACCGAGCGGUCUAAGGCGCUAGAAUCGGGUUACCGAAUCUAUCUAGUCUUUCGAGGCGUGGGUUCGAAUCCCACUCUCAUCA